GAUGAACGCUGGCGGCGUGCUUAACACAUGCAAGUCGAACGGGAAACCUUUUAUUGAAGCUUCGGCAGAUUUAGCUGGUUUCUAGUGGCGGACGGGUGAGUAACGCGUGGGUAACCUGCCCUAUACAGGGGGAUAACAACCAGAAAUGGUUGCUAAUACCGCAUAAGCGCACAGGGCCGCAUGGUCCGGUGUGAAAAACUCCGGUGGUAUAGGAUGGACCCGCGUUGGAUUAGCCAGUUGGCAGGGUAACGGCCUACCAAAGCGACGAUCCAUAGCCGGCCUGGGAGGGUGAACGGCCACAUUGGGACUGAGACCCGGCCCAGACUCCUCCGGGGGGCAGCAGUGGGGAAUAUGGCACAAUGGGGGAAACCCUGAUGCAGCGCCGCCGGGUGAAGGAAGAAGUAUCUCGGUAUGUAAACUUCUAUCAGCAGGGAAGAUAGGGCCGGUCCCUGACUAAGAAGCCCCGGCUACCUCCGU
rnacentral:rRNA from 1 species